UUCAUACCCGGGCCGAGUAUUACCCGGCCCGCAAUGCCCGGGUACGAUCCGGGUCCAGACCGAGCGGGUAUUUUUGCCACCUCUAAGUUUUCUGAAGGACAAGGAUAUAUAUAAACAAUUAGCUACAAUAUGGCAAAUGCCGGUCUCCAAUCUGUAUGCGUUGUUACUUAAUCGUAAAUUUGAAAAAUCAAUUCUCUAGAAGUUACCCAUUCAACCAUUUAUUAAACAAAAAAGUUCGUUGAUCUUUUUGAAAAUAAUGGAAGCUCUGAAAAAAACUAAAAGUUGUUUUUAUCUACAAUUAAGAUAGAAAAAAAAAAUAAUAAGGCGGAUUGUCGAAGUAGCAGAGACGAAACAGCAGUCCAUUUUGGGCAUGGAAAGGGAGAUCUGUGACGGUGAAUUUUGAUUGAAGAACAAGGGUAACAACACUACAGAGAGAGAGAACUGUGAGGGUUAGAUCGGGAUAAAAAGCUAGGAUUUUAAAAGAGACAAGGCAAAUUGCUUGAAUUUUGUUUUAUAAUUUAUUUUGUAAUUUAAUUGUCAAUUUAUUGAGAAUGUGUUAAACAUGUUCUUGGUUUUAUAACCAUAAAAGUGAAUUUAAAUUAUUUGUUUUAUAAUUCAUAUUUUUUGAAUUUAGCCCACCAAACAUGUAUUACAUCUAGACUUGAACUAUUGGAAUAUUUUUUUUUUAAAUUUAUUAAAACCCCUAUUAUUAUUUAUAUUUUUACCCACAACUAAAAUUACAUGAAAAAUAUAUGUAUUUGAUAAAACUUUCUCGUUAACUUGAUUUCAACAAAAACUCUUUGCAACCAUAUGCAAUUAUAUGUUCAAAAUUUCAAUUAAAAUCUAUUUACGAUAUGGAAAACAAUACAAGUUGAGACUUUUUCGAAUCCCGCAAUGAGUUUUAUGGCCAAGAAGAUUUAAUAAAGUAAUUCUUGUGCAGUUGCAGUUACUAUUGAGCUGACAAACUCAAUAAUUACUAUGAGUAAUUAUAUGAGUUCUACCCCAAACCAAAAUUCUUUUAUAAAGCAGGAGCUAAUUUAUUUACUAAUCCUUCACGAAUCAACAAGCAGAACGUCAACCUCUUUAAAUAAACCCAAUAGCUAUUUUAAUCAAAACAAACCACUGUCGAAUUUCUUUGCUUGCUUUUUUGAGCAAACCAACAAACCCCCACCAAUGUCCUUAAAAUUUCGGCAAACCAGCAACUCGUGAAAUAUUGCAAAUCAACAAACCCAGGCAGAUACCAAUUCAAAAGAAAUCUAUACAGCCAUUACUCGGGCUUAUAAAUAACUUUUUUUUUUCUUUUUUACUAUUUAGGGUUACUUUGGGAAUAAGUGGAAUGUUACAAAAUUGUGUAAACUUUUUUUAUUAAUGUUUUAAUGGGGUGUGUUAGGGAAAGGGGUUUUAAAAGCUUUUUUGAGGGGUCCUAAUAGCUGCAUUCUUACAUCUAGCCUCCCAAAAUGGAAAUAAAAACAAGACCCUUAGGCCUCGUUUGGUAUGUCAGAUUGGAUUGGACCGAAUUAGAUAAGAUAGGAUUAUAUUAGAUAACAUUGAAUUAUAUAUAAUACUAUAUUGUAUUUGGUGCAAUGUUGGAUUGGAUUAUUAAUAACAUAUCUUGUGUUUGGUAUGCCAUGGGAUUGGUUAGUAACUAAUAAUAUGUCUUAUUUAUUAAUUUAUCAAAAUUAUUUUAGAUUUAUUUUAAAAUGACAUGGAAUUUAAUCUAACUUAAAUAAAUAAUUAUUGGUAAAUUUAUAUAAAAAAAGCAAAAUCUUCCCUUAUUUUUUUAUAUUUUACAAAAUAAUAUCAUUAUAAACUUAAUAAGAAUACCGGUCCAUAAACGAAAAAAAAAAAAUUACCAAAUGUCACUAGUUGUAUAGAAGAAAAUAUUACAUAUCAUUAAUAUCAAAAGAGUGUAUGACAUAUAUACUAUCAUUGGAUGAUGACAUACCAAAAAAACAAAAGUCAUCAUCCAAAUGAAUUUACAAAACAAAGAGUGCCAGCAAAAGUCAUCACCCAAAGUCAUCACCCAAGUGCCAGGAGGUUAUCCCACAAGCCCCCUCGUUAUAAGAUUUUGACACAGUGUUGGAUUAAAUGGUGGGCUCCACCAAUUUUGUACUACAAUUAAUUUUGGGUGCCAAACAUUGUAGAGUGCUGCUAGGUAUCGAGAGGAACGAGAGAAGGACGACAGAAACGAUAUUCUCUCCUGCUGUUUCUCCUGUCGUUCCUCUCACUCAUUAAACAUUAAAAAAAUACAAAAAAUGAAUAAAAAAAUGACGUGAAAUCCAGCUUUCACUUUCCCCACCUUUCAGUUUCCUCUCUCUUUCACUUUCACUUUCCUCAAUUCUCACGUAGGCUUUACUUUCAAGCUUCACUUUUACUUUCCUCUUCCUUAGCUUUCAUUUUCCUCUCUCUCUCUCACGCAGGCUUCACUCUUCACUUUCCUCUCUCACGCAAAUCACGGCCUCCCUCUCCAGCCCGAGCAACUAUUCACGACCUCCUCCCUCUCCAGCCAGCAACCGAUCACGGCCUCCUCCCUCUCCCCCUCUCUCGGCUCUCUCGGCAAACAUUAAGUUCUUUUUGUUUUAAAUUUCUGUUAUGUGAAAGAUCUGGCGUGGAAUUUAAGCGUAUUGUGGAAUUUAAGUUUAUUUUUUUUGGGUGUUGUUGCUGGGUCUCGUUGGAAUUUAAGCAAUGUAAAUUUUGUUGCGGGUUAUGUUAUGAAUUUUGUUUUAUUUCAACUUUGGUGUUUAUGUUGUGAAUUUUGUUGCGGGUUAUGUUAUGGUAUGCAAAAUUUAUUUCAAAACUAUUUGUUUUAGAAAUUUUAGUGGGUCUCGUUGGAAUGUAAGUUUAUGGAAUUUAAGCAAUGUAAAUUUUGUUGCGGGUUAUGUUAUGAAUUUUAUUUUAUUUGGUGUUUAUGUUGUGAAUUUUGUUGUGGGUUAUAUUAUGAAUUUUGUUUUAUUUCAAUACUAUUUGUUUUAGAAGUUUUGUAAAUUUAAUUUUUAUGAAACUGAAUAUAAAUGUUAAUUAUUUUGUGCAUAGACAACAACCAAUAAAAUUAUUUUGUGCAUAAAAUUUACGGUUCUAUGCACAUUCCUUAAGCUUGGCCGAUCUAUUGCUUAAGCUUGGCCGAUCAUCUCUCUCCCUCACGGUUCAUUUUUAUGCAUAAGUGAAUUAAGCAAUUUUCUAUAACAAAAUGUUUAUUAAAUAGUAAUUAUUUUGUGCAUAGACAACAACCAAUAAAAUUCCUUCAGCAAAGGUUUCAGAUCACAAAAUUACAUUUAAUUUUACAAAAUAAUAUUGGAUUUUAGAACUUCUUCAAUUAUUGAUUAAAAAUAUGUUUUUAAUGUACUACCAAAAGUGCCAACCAAUAAAUGAUGAGUUGUGAAGUUGCGAGAAUUAAAACCCCAGAGAAACUAAUCUUGAAAGUUAAAUACAAAUUACCGAAACCGGAUUAAGUGAAUUAUAAUUUCACCUUUGCCCUCUAAAGAGUUUAUAUUUUCACCUUUCAACAAUAUGCAAGGCCAUAACUUAAUUUCUAGCAAAACUCAGGUUAGCUAUUCAACAUAAAUACUUGAAUAUUGAUGGGUAAAAAAGUACAACAACCAAACAGGAAAACCAAAUUAAUGAUAAAUAAACUGCAUAAUGCUAACCUCCAAAGUCACAGCAAAUUCAUCAAGCAAAACAAAAAGUCAUCUUUCCAAUACUAAUAAACCAGAAAUACAUCAGCCAAAUGGUUUAUUGCGAAUUUAAUACAAAGGAUACUGGCUUUAAUGUGGUAAUUUACAAAAAAAAAAAAAUCACAGCAGUUUGCUAUGCAUGCCCGCUUUCUUCAACCCAAAUUCCCUAGCUUUACUAAGUUGCUCAGCAUCCACUCUCAAUCUUUGAAAAGCGAUACUCGAUAUCCCUUGCUGUGUUUGCCACCUCAGUGAGUCCAAUUUUGUCUUUUGCUUCUCAAUCCCCCUAGAAAUCUCAGCCAUCUCGUCAUAACGCUGGAAGCAUGAGGGAGAGAGAAGCUGGUGAGGCACGCUGGAAGCCGUGAGGGAGAGAGAAGCUGGUGAGGCAAGCCGGAAGCGUGAGGGAGAGAGGAAAGCGAGGGCUGGAAAUAACUUGAUAAGAUUUCCCUCUGCACGAAGCGAUAAAUCAAUCUUUCUUUAUUCAUUCUUUUAUUAUUUUAAUGUUUUAUGUAGUGAGAGGAACGAGAAGCGAAACGGCAGGAGAGAAUGCCAUUUCUCUCGUUAUUCUCUCGUUCCUCUCGCUCCUUAGCAUUUUCCAACAUUGUAUUAGGAUAACUUUAGAAUGAAAUUAUCCAAUCCCAUCUUUUUGUACUUCAACCAAACAAGGCCUUAAUGAAUAAUGGGGUUAACCAAAAAGUCCGGACAGGCUCCACCCAUAUGAAUUAGACUUAGAUAUGGGUUGAGAAAUAGGAAGCCUGCAUAGAUUAGACCUGGAUUAUAAUCUUUUAAUUUAUAAAUAUAAAAAUAUAUUAAAUUAAAAAUCAAAAUAUUAGAUUAAUUUUUUUGUAUUAAUGUUUGCAAUUUAUUAUUUUGUGUUACUAAUAUCAAACCAGGGCUUUUUAUCAUAUAAAUAAAAAAUAUAUCAAAUAAAAAACUCAAAAUAUUAUAUUAAUAUAUUUUUUUAAUAUUAGUAUUUGUGAUUUAUUAUGUUGUAUUAUUAAUAUUUUGUGUAUUAAAUUUUUAUUCUAUUAUGUAUUAAAUAAUUAUCUUUAAUUUAAUUUUUUUACUUUAUUAAAAAUUUAUUUCAGAAUAAGUAAUGAUAUAAUCACAAACUCUUGUACAAACUGAUCUGGCAUGAUAAAAUUUAUUGAAUUAAAUAUCUCUUGGCCCACAUGAUUUAUUUUCAUUAUUUUGUAUUUUCAUUCAACUAAUGAAUUAAUGCCACAUUAAUUUGUACAAAAUAAAUUUAUAUAAAAGUUUGUGACUGUAUUAUCACUCUUUCAAAAUUAAUGAAGGUCGAAACUCAAUGCUCUUGAUUUGGUCUGUUUAAAUUUGAAUGGACUUUUAAAAGGUCUACACUUAUGCUGCGUUUACUUUUUGGAUUGGAGUGGGAAUCCUGAGGAGUGGGAAUCCUUGGAUUAGGAGUGUGGAGUGGGAGUGGGAGUAGGGUGUUUACUUAGACUAAAUGAAAGUAUGGAUUGUCAAUCAGAAUCCUAAUUAUUUGUUUACUUUGUCUUGGAUUGGGAGUAAAUUGUUUUAAAUUAUAAUUUUAUCCUUAUGUACAGAAUUAUAA
rnacentral:lncRNA from 1 species